rnacentral:lncRNA from 1 species
GAGGUUGCCCGAGGCCAUAUUAGAGAUUAGGAUUAGUUUUAUGGGGCCAUUUGAGCUUUGAAGGCUAGGAUUAGGAAGUUUAGGUUUUUGGCUAUGAUUUUGGUGCAAGUUUUAUAUGGUUUGGAGUUUAUAUGAAGGAAAUAUAGGCGCUCAAAGUUAAGGUGUUGAUUUGGGAGCUAGUGUCACUCUUUUUAGCAUAAUGCACGCGUAUGGACAAAAAUUGAGGAUCGGUGACUACGACUGGAGAAAGUACUUUUGCAGCUAUACUUUUUAUAUACUAUUUACUGGAUUCCAAGUUGAAAUGAAGGAAUUAUUAGAUUUUGUAGUCAGUGCAUGCAAUCUAAGGGUAGUAAGUAACCCGAUUUACUAAUGGUUGUGUCUUGAGCUAUAUCUUGAGCAAUUUGAUAAGGUUUUGGCUCAAAA